rnacentral:tRNA from 1 species
AGACUGGUAAGUUAAUUAAACUGCGGGGUUCAUGUCUCCGUUUUACACGUUUUUUGUGUCUGGUUGA